AGCUGCAGCCCCACAGAUAAAAAUCUGAAACAUUUAGGUCAUGAAAAGUUGAUAACCAUUUAAUGUGUCCAUAUAACAAAACAGAUGAAUACCUGUGGUGGAUCAAAAAUUUUAGAGAUUCCUGAGGCCCAAACUAAGAAAAAUUCUGAAACAAAUAAUACUAUUAAGGACUGGUAUAAGAAGUGACUAGACAGACAGUCAUGCCAGUAAAAUAUUUCAAAAACAGAGAGCCGAUCAUACAAAGAAUGCUCAAGUAUCCUAAGCGCAAAAUCGUUGAAGCCCACUGGCUCGCGUCACAAUAUGGAAGAGAACUUUAUUUACCGCAUUCUUAAGUAUCAUCCAAGUUUUCUUACUAGAACCGAGCGUGACAAAAGUCAGACUCCAAGUAUCCGAGACUUCGCAUUUCCUUGCACAUGGCAUAAAUAGAAAACAAAAAGAAUUCCUUGAAAAUUUAUUUAAUGAUUAUAUGUAUAUCUGAUUUGGAUUAUUGCCCUACCCAAUUUUAAAACUGCCUUUUCCUAAAACGUUUCUAGCUGCAUAAAUAUGCAAUUUAAAGGAAAGUUAAAAAAUUUUUUUAUUUUUAAUAGUUAGAAAGCAAAUAACAGUUUAUAAAACAACAAUAAUAUGUAUAUAUAACAGUAAAAGUAGGAUAAAUUUCCGAAUAUUGAGAUCUAAGCCAGACACUUAUCCAAUGUACGUAUUGAUUCUAUAGUCUUCACUAACAAAAAAUUUGCAUAUAAUACUUGUUUUUAUAUUGUGAAAUUUUACAUACAUAUUUAACAUAAAUUAUUAUAAGAUACAUUUGCAUAAUUCAGGAAUUUUUAAUUCAUAUGCACAUUUAAGUCGAUGUCAUGCCAUACAUAAUGUAAAAGUAUGUAUUAAGUACUGAUUCAAAUACGCGUCGUACAUAAAUAGUGAAUAUGUAAGAACUACACGCGCAGGAUCAGAUAAAAAUGGCGAAGUGUAGAGCAACUGCUGGUAAAGUGUAGAGUUAUAUAUUUGUUCAUGUUGAGGAUAGACGAAACCAUAAAGCGGUUUGGUUGCCACAGAGAACGUUAAUUCUUUCGCUACGGGCAGAUUGCCGCGGUGCGGCACUCCCGCUGAACGAGCCGUCACGCCAAAACAAUGCUUGGUACGCGAGAAAGAUCGUCAGCGGCCGCGUUUACGCCUCACUGCAAAACGAGCUGCUCUGACGGUAUUUUUCGAAGAAGAAAACUUUCCUCAAAACUGGGUAUUUAUAACUUCUUAACAUACUCACUUUUAAUUACAAUUUGGAAAAAAAUAACAUUACAGAAUAUAAUAAUAUGAUAUAAUAUAAUAUAAUUGUAUGAUACUAAUAGCUUUUAAUAAUAGUAUUGCGUGUGGUAUUUUUCGAAACAUGGUGUAACACAUAGACCAACAUCACAAAUCUGGCACUGGUAUCACGAUUCGCUCCACAGUUCCCAUCAAUCGAUUAUAAUCGGCAACAUAUUGAAUCUUCUUUUGCAUGCGAUAAUGACGUUUCAUGUUAACAAAUUCUUCAUUGUGAAAAGAGGACAACAUAUACACUGCCCUCUUGUUAAAUCAUUUUAUUGUUAAUAAAAGGCUUAAGGAUGUACAAUAUUCGUCGUAUGUAGUCACCCGUAGUAGCGAAAGGGUUAAAUAUCAAGGAGGGAGGGGUGAGUAUACGAUACACUGUUGCCACUCCUAUCUGUUAUUACGCGCGCGGAUUUCCACUAAAGUGAAUGGUCGUGUAGUAUACGAUAUGGGUUGAGAUGUUGUUGACAUAGAAAGAAUGGCACGCGUG